AAACCCACAACGCAUAGAUUAUGAAUUUGUUUCUGGUUUGUGAAACGGUUAUUGCUUUAAUCGUUUAAAUUUAAUUAUAUCAGAAGUUAUGUUACCAAUCGAUCCCUGGCUAAAGUGGUUUGUUUCCUAACUAGGAACGUCAGCCACCAGGGGGGUUCGAUGGUACCCGAUUGAGCAGAUAUUUGAUGGAGAAGGUAACUUGUGACGUGGAGAGAUGAUGUGGAAGAGGUGGAGGAGGGGGAGGAGUAACUAGAGAGUUUAGAGAUGAGGGGAGUUACGUGGCCGAGUUGUCGAUAGUUGUGAAUGUGGAGGACGAGGGGUGGAGAGGUAGAGGUGUUGAGAGACAUAGCCAGCGGGCAGGGGGUGGUAGUGGAUGGAGGAGGUUUAGUGGAAGGACGAGGGGUGUAGAGGUGUUGAGAGACAUAGGUGAUGACACCAGAGACAAGCAUUAGAGGUAAUUUAAAUUACCUCUCUUUUU